UACGUAGGGACCAAGCGUUGUUCGGAUUUACUGGGCGUAAAGGGCGCGUAGGCGGCUUAACAAGUCACUUGUGAAAUCUCCGGGCUUAACUCGGAACGGCCAAGUGAAACUGUCAGGCUAGAGUGCAGAAGGGGCAAUCGGAAUUCUUGGUGUAGCGGUGAAAUGCGUAGAUAUCAAGAGGAACACCUGAGGUGAAGACGGGUUGCUGGGCUGACACUGACGCUGAGGCGCGAAAGCCAGGGGAGCAAACGGG
rnacentral:rRNA from 1 species